rnacentral:lncRNA from 1 species
UGCCUUUCUCACGUGACUUUUGACUGGACCGCAUAAUUCGCCUCAAAACUCACACCGGCGGUUUUUCUCCUCUUCCGUCACCAUGGGCUGUUAAUUAAAGUCUCCUCUCUUCUACUCAAUCGAGAUCUGUGAAGCCCUAAUUAUUCUCCAUGUCUGCUCAAUGCUUCCAUUAACAGAUUACAGGUCAAGGAUGAAGUAGUAGGUUACAACUUACAAGUAGUAGAAGCAAGGAUACAAGAUUGAUUUUCAAAGGAUUCACCACCAAAAGCUCCGGUCGACAAAUGCAACAACAACAGCUUUAAAGUCCUCUUCCAGAGUUGGUAGCUUUAUACUCAUCUAUGGAUGGAAUGAAGAUAAUGAUGUUGACAAGGUGAUUAUCUAAAACGUAAAAGUUCCGAUCAAUUUCCAGGAAGAUAAUCCACCUAAACAAGCAGACACGAUCGCCGGUAAAAUUAUUUUGAAUAAAAAGCCCUCGACGCCAAUGACUUGAUCGAGGGAAGAGUCAUUAGGAAACGGGUCCCUUUUGGCAGCAAAGACAGAUGUUGCUCUAUGUUUUUCGACUAACAUGAACAAAUGGGUCAAAACUGAUCCACUGCUGGGUUUCAGUUUGUUUUUUUUGGCAUGAAAAUUUAGCUAUAUAUAUCAUAAGGGUAACACUUCUUAACGCUCAACUGUUAUGCUAAAAUAUUUGAUGCUAUAAACUCGGGUUAUUUAAGUUUUGACGUCGCCGCAACGCGCGACGGGACAAAAUACUAGU